GCGGAACACGUGUGCAACCUGCCUUUAUCUGGGGGAUAGCCUUUCGAAAGGAAGAUUAAUACCCCAUAAUAUAUUGAAUGGCAUCAUUUGAUAUUGAAAACUCCGGUGGAUAGAGAUGGGCACGCGCAAGAUUAGAUAGUUGGUGAGGUAACGGCUCACCAAGUCAGCGAUCUUUAGGGGGCCUGAGAGGGUGAUCCCCCACACUGGUACUGAGACACGGACCAGACUCCUACGGGAGGCAGCAGUGAGGAAUAUUGGACAAUGGGUGAGAGCCUGAUCCAGCCAUCCCGCGUGAAGGACGACGGCCCUAUGGGUUGUAAACUUCUUUUGUAUAGGGAUAAACCUACCCUCGUGAGGGUAGCUGAAGGUACUAUACGAAUAAGCACCGGCUAACUCCGUGCCAGCAGCCGCGGUAAUACGGAGGGUGCAAGCGUUAUCCGGAUUUAUUGGGUUUAAAGGGUCCGUAGGCUGAUUUGUAAGU
rnacentral:rRNA from 1 species